GUUGUCUUCCUGUAUCUUAACUGCCUCACGGUCUUGCAAUUCUCACGCGACACCGGUGCAUAGAUCGUAAAUAAAAGUAUUCUAUAUCUCAAACAGCGAAUGGAAAUCAGGAAAAUGGAAAAGAGUGUUUCCCCAUGACUGGAGAACCAUGGAAGUGUUCCUCUAUAGGGCUCUAUGCUUCUCCCUAUGUCUCACAUUUGUUGAGUCCACGGCCAACUACCAACUGUUCAAGGGGCCCAGGACUGGUGAAACACAGCGCUAUCAAGUUUGUCCUAUGCCGUCCCAGCCAUGUUCCCACUGCUUUUACUGCGAAGAAGGUGUCCUGUCAGAUUCCACAUACGAAAAUAAACAGAGUGUAUUAUGUAACCAGUACUACAUAGGCAAAAAUAUGUCAGAGGCUCUUCUACCAGAAGAGUUAGCAAACAACAAAAUACCAGUGUGCAAUAUUGGACAGGUUCCAGGAUGUGGCCCUCCGCCUCAAGAUAACAUUCAGCCAGGACUGUCCUGGAAAUGUGACCCAGGCCACAGUAAUCAACCCCACUCUGUCUACUUCUCCUGUGCCCUGAUCUGCAACUAUACAAACACUGUGGCUUACCAGUACUACUGCAAUGAAAGUCUGCGCUGGGAACUUCUGGAAGCGGCUAAUUCUAGCUGUCGAUCAAAUGUAUCUGAAGAGGUUUUGACAAGCAUAGAGGCUGGUACAGCAUCGAUGGUACUCCCAAUGGUUGGCAUAGUUGCUGGAGUGAUGGUGGUGGCUGUUGCAGUCAUUUGUUCGAUAUGCUGCUUCAUCUUCCAUAGACGCAAAAAAGAAGAUGAACGUGUACGAAAUGGAGAACUUGAUGAAUGUGUAUCAAAUGGAGACUUUGCUCCAAAUGAUUUUUCAAACAUAAAUAAUUUGAAAAACAGCAAGAAAGAAACAGCACAGAUUGAAAUGUCAGUAAUGAACGGUAAUGACAGCAUCCAGGCUGCAUCGCAAGAUGAGCAUGAGACUGAUUUAAAAACUUUAGACCAUAGUGAAAGCGGCGGACAAGACACAAGUGCAAAUAUGAGUCUUUUGACAGAUAAAAUUAAUAAUGUGACUAAUAAAGACAAGCCUGCAAGCAAGUACACAAUGAACAAGAUUUUCAAAGGAACAAAGAAUCACCAAUCUAGAUUGCAAGUUGAUGAUCCGAAUGAUGUAAACACUUUAGACAGUAGUGAAAUCAGUGUACCAGAAGCAUGUGCAAGUUUAUGUCCAUUGACAGAGAAAAUUGAUAACAUGAAUAAUAAAGGAAAGCUUGCAAGCAAGUGCACAUUGAGCAAGUUUUUUAAAGGAAAAAAACCCAUUGAGCCAACCAGUUGCAUAAAAAUUCGUUUCAAAAUUGUGAAUGGAAAACUGAAAUGGGAAAAAUGUGUGGAUGUAAAUGGAGUUUUUGAGAUCCCAUCAGGUGCUGAGGAGAUCAGGAUAUGUAUAGACCCCAAGAAAGCAAAGGAUCUCUGUGUGAAGAAGGAAGCUGGACCAAUACGUACAGGAAAAUAUCAGAUUGGGAAAGCACAGUUUGUAAUUUCCUCCAAAACAGAAGAUUGUAAUGGAAAGUAUUGCUGUAAAUAUAAACUCAUUCCAAGCCAAGUAGAAAUGACUGAACAUUUUGAGAUAAAACAUUUAAUUAAAAAAGUGAACAAUACUAUGAACCAACCUGAAGAUAAUUCUAUUUAUUCCACACUAAAUCCUGGAUCUUUGGUGUCAAAAGAUUCAGGUUUAUCAUCCAUAAAGGGUGCAAAGUGUAUUUCCAGUUACACUAGCCCUAAAUCAUCCAGAGAUCAAUGCAAGUCAUGGAAUGAUCUGUCUGUCGAACUAAAUACACUAGACUAAGUUGAGGUGGUAGAUGAAAAGACCCAAUGUCUUACAAACAGAUUAAAUACUGGUAAUUGUACUCCAUUUCUUGAAAGAGCUUAAAUGGUGUUGUUGAAUCCUCCUUCUACAUUGCAGAAAACGUAGAAGGAAUUUCUUACCUCUAUUCGUUCAUUUGAGUGAAAUUUGUAAAUGAAUGGUUCCAAAAAAAUGUUGGAAAAAAAGAUUCGGUUGGCAACUUGGAAUGUCUGAGUAUCCUUAACUUUUUGUUUAAUUUUUCGAAAACUUGUUUGGCUAAAUAUUUCUGAAACUUUGAUUUUGGAUGUAGAAUACCGUGACAUUGGAAGUAAGAAAAUAAAAUUAAAAGAGUUGUAUAACAGCUCUACAACUUCAAAAAAGUUGUGACAGGAUUUGCAUUUUGACUCGCAAAUGUUAGGUGACAGUUGCACUCAAUACUUCACUUAUUCGAAAACUACAUGAGAUAUAAACCAUAAAACUUGGUAAUGUAAAAUGAACAAUAUUGAAUAAAUGAGGGUUUUCAUCAGAAAGGAACUUCAGUAUUGCAAAUCUUAUUCUUUAUGAUUAAAAAUUAUUCAGAUGCAUAGGUAAUGAGCGAUGUGGCGGUUAAAUUAGCCGAAGUGGUUUAAUAAGUGAUUUAAUGACCACACAUAAGAAUGAUAAAAGAUGUGUUCAUUGCUUAAGUGGGCUCAUCAUUUAAAUGACAGGAUCUUCAUUAUUGUUGCAAUUGAAAUGAAAAUUAUUGUUUAUGGUUUGGAAAGGUGGAUACUCACCUGUGUGUCAUGCAUGUUUUGAUGUUUGCAACCAAGUUAUCAAAUAUACCUAAAGCUUUCAUUUAACUUCAUGUCUUAUCAUAUACACUUGUAAAUAAAUACGCAUUUUUUGCAUGUGAUAUCUAUUUAUGUGUUUUUGUUGUACAUAUGACUUUAAGACAGAAUAAUGUAAUAUUUAUGGUCUAUUUAUUAAGUUUGAACAUAUUUUCUUACAAUAGAAACACAGCUAACAAACUUAUGUAUAGAAUAAAGUUUUGUUGAGAGUUGGUUAUGAAUGGAGAAUAUAAACUAUUUUUAGAGUUAGAAUUGAUAGGAAAUCAACAAUUUCAUUUAAAAUCUACAGCGUUAAUUUAGAUUUUUUUUUGUAUUUUCCUUACAUUUAUAUUGUUAAAGUUUAUGAUUGUGUCUGUCUCAUUACCGGUACAUUGUUUUGUGAAAAGUCAUAAUGAGAUUUCUAAAUGAAAUGGCACAAAUUAUAUUCAGAUGCAAAUCACAUGUGAAGUGUGAAAACCUUAUUUCUUGUUUUAAUGUCAAUUUUACAGUGGACACUUAGUUUUGGAAUAGUCCUCUCAGUAUAUUCUAGUAUCAUGCAGCCUGUCCACACUGCUUUUAUUUGUUUCCUAACUGAUGUAAAAGUAUAAAAAAUACAUGUGUCUAUCCAAUAUUAACAUAUAAAACUAUGCUACUUGUAUCUCAUAAUUAUGUGCUAUAUUGUAAUAACUUAAAGUGGUUAUAUGAAAAGGUAUGAAUUGGUGUGUAAAUAACCUGUUGUAAUGUUAAUAAUUUUAUGCAAUACAGUUUUGUUUUCACUAAGCCGAGACGUUAACAUGAAGUGCUCAAGGUGAACUAUUGCGUCUUUUGUUGUGUAGCAUGUUGUUUUCGUUGUCAACUUUUAGUGCUUUACCAUUGUACAGCCUAAAUUUUCUCUACAAUAUCAAUGUAGUGUUAGAAUCUUAAUCAUGUACUUUUUUAAACAAGGUUACCAGGACAAAGCUCACAAAGUUCGUGUUACCACUAUUGAAAAAGCAUAUGUGACUCAAUCUUGAUGAGGCUACGUUUCAAUGUUUAUCUUGAUAUCUUCUAGGCUGAGUUAGAAUCUUGGUCACAUGCGUCUAAACAAUAGCUCACAGUGGUACCAUUCUAGAGACCACAUUGAUGACUCAAUCUUAAUGAAACAUGGUAAAAAAUAUUGAAUCUGGUUCACAUAGGUAAAAACACUAGUUUAUCAGGUCAAAUCUUUAAAAAAAAAAUGCUACCGCUUUAGAGGCCACAUUUACAACUAUUUUGAUGAGAUACAGUCAGAAUGUUUGUCCUGGUAAUAUCUAGAAAAAGUUCUAAUCUGGGUCAUGUGCGUCAAAAAACAAGUUUCCCGCAGUCAUAUCUUAGAAAAACCCAUGUCCCCAUUCUAGAAGGCUAAUUUAUGACUCAAACAAAUAGCUAGGUCACUUUGAAUCUGUAUUACUUGCGUCUCGAAACUAGGUUACCAGGCCAAAUCUAAAAAAAUAUAACCUUUUGUGGGUCUUCAUUUAUGACUCAAUCUUGAUGAAAUUUAGUUGUUUUGUUUAUUAUUCAAUUAUAUUUGUUAAAGCUUAUUAUAAAUGUAUUGUGUUUGAUACAAUUUACAUUUGUGUUCCUUAUUGCUGAUAUUUCUAUUUAAACCAUGAUCUGUUA